UACGAAGGGGGCUAGCGUUGUUCGGAAUCACUGGGCGUAAAGCGCACGCAGGCGGAUCGUUAAGUCAGGGGUGGAAUGCCGAGGCUCAACCUCGGAACUGCCUUUGAUACUGGCGAUCUUAGAGUCCGGGAGAGGUGAGUGGAACUCCGAGUGUAGAGGUGAAAUCCGUAGAUAUUCGGAAGAACACCAGUGGCGAAGGCGGCUCACUGGCCCGGUACUGACGCUCAGGUGCGAAAGCGUGGGGAGCAAACAGG
rnacentral:rRNA from 1 species